GCGGACGGGUGAGUAACGCGUAGGAAUCUACCUCUGGGUGGGGAAUAAUCCCGCGAAAGUGGGACUAAUACCGCAUAAGAUUUUCGAAUGAAAGGCCAUAACUGGUCGCCGAGAGAGGAGCCUGCGUCCUAUCAGCUUGUUGGUGAGGUAAAAGCUCACCAAGGCGAUGACGGGUAGGGGGCGUGAGAGCGUGUCCCCCCACAAGGUCACUGAUACACGGGGCCUACACCUACGGGUGGCAGCAACUAGGAAUAUUGCGCAAUGGGCGAAAGCCUGACGCAGCGACGCCGCGUGCGGGAUGAAGACCUUCGGGUUGUAAACCGCUGUGGAGAGGGAAGAUAAUGACGGUACCUUUCUAGAAAGCACCUGCUAACUACGUGCCAGAAGCCUCGGUGAAACGUAGGGUGCAAGCAUUAUCCGGAUUUAUUGGGCGUAAAGAGUAUCGUAGGCGGUUUUGUAAGUGAUCGGUGAAAGCCUUUGGCUCAACCAGAGAACUGCCGGUCAUACUGCGAGACUAGAGUGACUUCGGGAAGGCUGGAAUUCUCGGUGUAGGGGUGAAAUCCGUUGAUAUCGAGAAGAACACCAAGGGCGAAGGCAGGCCUUUAGGAGUCUACUGACGCUAAUGAACGAAAGCUUGGGGAGCAAAAGGGAUUAGAGACCCCUGUAGUCCAAGCCGUAAACGAUGCCCACUAGAUGGUCUCGAUUUAAUCGGGACUGUCGUAAGCUAACGCGUUAAGUGGGCCGCCUGGGGAGUACGGCCGCAAGGCUAAAACUCAAAGGAAUUGACGGGGAAAUGCACAACCAGGGGAGCAUGAGGUUUAAUUCGAUACAAAGCGAAGAACCUUACCUGGGCUUGAAAUCCUGGUGACAGUUUAUAGAAAUAUAGAUCUUUCGCAAGAACACCAGUGACAGCUGCUGCAUGGCUGUCG
rnacentral:rRNA from 1 species